GUAACAAGGUCUCCGUUGGUGAACCAGCGGAGGGAUCAUUACCGAGUUAUUCUACUCCCAAACCCCUGUGAACUUAUACCUUUACUGUUGCUUCGGCGGGUUAACGCCCCGGAAGGCCCGCGAGGGCCGCCGGAACCAGGCGCCCGCCGGGGGACCCAAACUCUUGUAUCUUUUUUAUAGCAUGUCUGAGUGGAAUCAUAAACAAAUGAAUCAAAACUUUCAACAACGGAUCUCUUGGUUCUGGCAUCGAUGAAGAACGCAGCGAAAUGCGAUAAGUAAUGUGAAUUGCAGAAUUCAGUGAAUCAUGGAAUCUUUGAACGCCCAUUGCGCCCGCCAGUAUUCUGGCGGGCAUGCCUGUUCGAGCGUCAUUUCAACCCUCAAGCCCCAGUGGCCUGGUGUUGGGGACCGGCGACCUCGCCCGGGGGAACACCCCCGGCGCGUCCGCCGCCCCCGAAAUGAAUUGGCGGCCCCGUCGCGGCCUCCUCUGCGUAGUAGCACAACCUCGCAGCGGGAGCGCGACGCGGCCACUGCCGUAAAACGCCCAACUUUUUUAGAGUUGACCUCGGAUCAGG
rnacentral:rRNA from 1 species